rnacentral:rRNA from 1 species
GAUGAACGCUGGCGGCGUGCCUAAUACAUGCAAGUCGAGCGAACAGACGAGGAGCUUGCUCCUCUGACGUUAGCGGCGGACGGGUGAGUAACACGUGGAUAACCUACCUAUAAGACUGGGAUAACUUCGGGAAACCGGAGCUAAUACCGGAUAAUAUAUUGAACCGCAUGGUUCAAUAGUGAAAGACGGUUUUGCUGUCACUUAUAGAUGGAUCCGCGCCGCAUUAGCUAGUUGGUAAGGUAACGGCUUACCAAGGCAACGAUGCGUAGCCGACCUGAGAGGGUGAUCGGCCACACUGGAACUGAGACACGGUCCAGACUCCUACGGGAAGCAGCAGUAGGGAAUCUUCCGCAAAGGGCGAAAGCUUGACGGAGCAACGCCGCGUGAGUGAUGAAGGUCUUCGGAUCGUAAAACUCUGUUAUUAGGGAAGAACAAAUGUGUAAGUAACUAUGCACGUCUUGACGGUACCUAAUCAGAAAGCCACGGCUAACUACGUG